GCGCCGCGGCGAGAUGCUGGGUUUCCAUGGGAACCGCAAGGUCGAGUCUUGCUGGGGUCCCAGACUCCUAACCGCUCAGUGAGCGCGUGAAAGCAGGAGAAUGCCCUCCUGAUAAGCACCCGUGCAGAGAGCUGUGCCAGGGGGAUGAGUCGUGUCCUGCCGGGCAAAAGUGCUGCAGCACCGGUUGCGGUCGUGUCUGCCGAGGAGGCCUUCCAGAAGGGAGGAAAGGAGAUUGUCCCAGGGCUGUUCGGAAACAAUCCUGCUUCCAAAGGUGCGUCACUGAUGAGACUUGUCCAGGUACAGAGAAAUGCUGCACGUUUGGAUGUAACAAGCGCUGUGUGGUCCCAGUCACUAAACCCAAGCUGGAGUCUGGUGGUGAAUGUCCUGCUGACCCCCUUCCAUGUGAGGAGCUGUGUGACAGGGACGAGUCCUGUCCCCAGGGGCAUAAGUGCUGCAGUACCGGCUGUGGCCACUCUUGCCGUGGAGACAUUCAGGGAGGGCGGGGUGGUGAGUGUCCACACCUUCUGGUGGGCUUGUGCAUUGUCACCUGCAUGAUGGAUGAGAACUGCCAGGCCUGGGAAAAGUGCUGCACGUCAGGCUGCGGCCGCUUCUGUGUCCCGCCCGUUCUGCCAGCGGAACUGGCCACAAACCCCAACCGGACCCUCAACCCUGGUUCUGCCAGAGGGAUCCUGGUGCCUUAGCUGUCGUGAUUCGUCCUGAGCUGCUUUGGUGAUGACAGGGGGGGCUUGUCCUGGCUGCCAGGAGAGGGUGAUGUCCUAGGGCUGUGACCCUCCUGAGGGCUCUCGUUGCCCUCUCUGCUCUGCUUCUGUUCCUGCUGUGGCCCUGAGCACGGGAAUCAGAGUCGUGGGUUUGGGCAAUGGUGUGCGGUACUGCUUUUCCCCAAUAAAGACUGUACUGACCUU